GAUGAACGCUGGCGGCGUGCCUAAUACAUGCAAGUCGAGCGAACGGACGAGAAGCUUGCUUUUCUGAUGUUAGCGGCGGACGGGUGAGUAACACGUGGAUAACCUACCUAUAAGACUGGGAUAACUUCGGGAAACCGGAGCUAAUACCGGAUAAUAUUUUGAACCGCAUGGUUCAAAAGUGAAAGACGGUCUUGCUGUCACUUAUAGAUGGAUCCGCGCUGCAUUGGCUAGUUGGUAAGGUAACGGCUUACCAAGGCAACGAUGCAUAGCCGACCUGAGAGGGUGAUCGGCCACACUGGAACUGAGACACGGUCCAGACUCCUACGGGAGGCAGCAGUAGGGAAUCCUCCGCAAUGGGCGAAAGCCUGACGGAGCAACGCCGCGUGAGUGAUGAAGGUCUUCGGAUCGUAAAACUCUGUUAUUAGGGAAGAACAUAUGUGUAAGUAACUGUGCACAUCUUGACGGUACCUAAUCAGAAAGCCACGGCUAACUACGUG
rnacentral:rRNA from 1 species